rnacentral:lncRNA from 1 species
UGGAUUUUUGUAAGAAGAUUUAUUUUAAUUAAGUGAUUUCAUGAUGAAACAUGGUCUUAAACAAAAUAGAGGUCAGUAUGAAAAUAAAAUUAUACACAGAAAAAUCUUUUUCCCAAAUUUUCUGAGUAACAGCAAAUACAACAGUCCUGUAUUCAACUGAGGAGAUAAUUAUGUAAAUCUAUGAGCAGUCCAACAUUAUAGUACAUUCCUUGAAGCCAGGCACAACGAAACACAUUGUGCGCCCCUGAAACACACCACAUUUUGUAUCUACUCUCUCUGCCUCAGAGGAAAAAAGAAGUGAAAUGUAAUGCAGUGUAAAUGGAGAAAAGGACAUACCCCACCUUAAUGCUUGAAGCACAUAUUCCCCAUUUAGUGUUCUGUGAAAGACAUAUACCAAAUUCAGAUGAAACUUAAAUUGGCUUGUAGAAAGAUAGAAAAACUUGGUAUUUGUAUUUGAUAUACAGUCUUGUGAACACUUAACUGAAAAAUAUGGAAAGGAUUAAAAAAUACACCACGUGUUCUACUUAAAGCUUAGAAAGAAAUACGCACGCUGUAUUCUCAGUGCUUGAAAUUCUUUAAAAACAAAGAACUUGUUACAAAAUUAUAUCAAGUAAUUGUCAAAAAUGAGGGAGAUGCACCUAUAUACCUGUUAGAUUCUGGAUGCCUGCAUCCCCACUACAAAAACUUGUAAAACUAUAUGAGCUUUCAAACAUGCUGAAUAACCCAAACUGUAUCCUAGCACGGGCAAGAAUAUCGACUGACGUGGGGGCAACAGUAUUCCACACCACAUCCCUCUUUAAAAUUUUCUCCUUCCAUACUGUAUCAGCCCUUCGAAGUAUUCAGUCACUUACACAAAAAUCAGCCUUGCUGAGCAGGAUUCAUAGAUGCCCCCAAGGCUAUGUCAUUCCAAGGAAAAACAAUACAAAGAAAAAGCAUCUUCCUUAGAUGAUUUAUGUACUUAUUAUCUAAUUCUUCUUCCUCCCUGCAAUGCUGAUAAGUAACAGCAGUCUCCUGAGUGUUGCAGACUCAUUGCAGAAAAUGGCCUGCUCCAUUAUGGUCCAAUG